rnacentral:rRNA from 1 species
UACGUAGGGGGCAAGCGUUGUCCGGAUUUAUUGGGCGUAAAGAGCUCGUAGGUGGUUCGGUAAGUCGGAUGUGAAAUCUCCAGGCUCAACCUGGAGGGGUCAUUCGAUACUGCCGUGACUAGAGGUCGGUAGGGGAGUGUGGAAUUCCUGGUGGAGCGGUGAAAUGCGCAGAUAUCAGGAGGAACACCGGGGGCGAAGGCGGGUCUCUGGGCCGAUACUGACGCUGAGGAGCGAAAGCGUGGGGAGCGAACAGG